rnacentral:tRNA from 1 species
CGGGGCGUGGCGCAGCUGGGUAGCGUGCUUGCUUGGGGUGCAAGAGGUCGCCGGUUCAAGUCCGGUCGCCCCGACCA